ACUCGUCCCCUCUUCUCUCUCACUGAAUAUAAUAUAUACGUAUAUAGUUUGUAUCUUCUACCACCGUAAGAUAUAAUUUUUUCUCGUUGAGUCUCGUGACUUCUCUAUUAUUUUCUUGAUCAUGUAUCGUGUGAAUUUUUAAUUCUGAAAAUUCUCAAAAGUUGUUAAGGAAAAUGGAUUGACAGAGUUGGAGGUAGUUUUGGUUGCGGACAUCAAUGUAUGUAAAGGCUAUAUUUUUCUCUUUUGGAAUGAUUUCUACCUAUGACGUUCUGGAUCUAGCAUGUUAUCAAAGAAGUAAUUUUAAACCACUCAAGUGAUGUAUCCAUACUCAAUUUAUUUUCCCUAUAUUUGACAACCAAAACUUUUCUCCAAUUCAAAUAUGUUAUCCAAGGUUUCGAAGAUGGCAAUUAUGCAGUUGGACGCUUGUCACUACUCUGUUUAGGGUCAUUUAAAACCAGUUCUUGUGUCAUGAGAACCUUAUUUAUUU
rnacentral:lncRNA from 1 species